CAAGCUCUGUUUUGAUUAAGAAGGUGUCAAAUCCAUUCAGGUAUUGAGCUGAUAGGGAUACAGGAUUGGUUAGUUUCAGUUUGAAUAUUGUGUUUAUCUGAGUUCAGUGAUGGUCGGCAGUAUAACUGACUGUAAACACAAUGUCUGUUACAGGUAUGAAUACUGACAGCACUCCUGAGUCUCCAUCAUCAUGGUACAUUGUGCUGAUACUCGGCAUUCUCUGUCUCUGCCUCUGCAUUGGUUUAAUCUAUUUUGUAAGACACAGAGGAAAAAAUUCAGAGGGGGAGCUGGGCCCGGAUGGAGCAAACACUAUGUACAUGGUGCCAUGGGCCGCAAACAAAGCAUCUCCCCGAAAUACCCCCCAGGAUAACACUGUGUACUGCACUGUGGGACACCCUAAGGACCUGCCCCCAGGACCACCCCCACCAGCUCACUGUGAUGACACGAGUAUUUACAGUCAGGUGAAAAAAUAACAUGGACUUUUCUGCAGAAUGAAAGCUGCCUGGAACUUUUUAGCUCAUGCUUGUGAUGCCACUUCCUUUGCAGUGGGUCUGUCUGUACUGUGAAUAUUCAUGCACUUUUCAGCUCAUACGUAUGACAUAUGCUACUUAGCAAAGAGUCUGUGUGCACAUUGCGAUGCAUCAGAGUGUAAAAGCUCUGUGAUGUGUUACCUGCCAACAUGCAUGAGGAGGUGAUUUGUACAUUAAUGUCAGUGUUAAUUAUCUGCACUAAGUAUGAUGCAUUUAUAACUGUUUAGCAGAUGUUUGUUAUCCAAAGAGACAUCCAAUACAACAGACAGCAGGCAUGCAGUCCUUAGAGCUAUUGGGGUUAAGGUCUCAGCUCAGGGUUUGAAGCUGUUUGCUACUGAGUCCUAACCGACUGAUCCUCACCAACAGUGUGUUCGUGUGUCAGGGAGUGAGCUUGUCUGGCUAGGAGUUUAUACACCAAGCUGUGUGAGUAUUAGUGUGUAAGAAAUCAUGCCAGCGUUGCUGGGGCAGAUGACUGCAAGUUCUGUUUAUGGUGGAAAAAAGUUAAUUUCAGUAUUUCAUUUUGCAGCUAAGAGUUAUUUUGUGCUCUUCAACAUUCAUUAAAUGGUUAUUAAGGACUCUGUUCAGUCUUUGUUGAGUUCUUGGGUCAUUUAUAUAAAAUUCAUUUUCUGUUUUCAACAUUGUGAAUGUACAUAUCCUCCUGUCUCUCUUCAAGUGUAAAGUAGAAUUAAACUUUACUAAUUAGUGCUUAAAUUUCUGUGAAAUAUUCAUGUUCUUAAAACAAUUAGACAAAGAGGGCUCUACAUUCUUCAUCGAUGACUGCUGAAUGGGUGGAAAUUGGGAAAAACUGAUAUUUUAAUCUUUUUAAGCUGUCAUACAGAAAACAAACCAGCAGCUACUUCCUCUUUUAUUUUAUUUCCACAUUUGCAGACACAGACCAAUAAGCAGUUCUUCACUCUGGGGAUUACUGGAUAUAGCAGCGUAUGCAGGCUGACAUUUUCAAUGCAAUGUCAAUCGGAAAUGUUUAAUCUAUUUCACAGAUUACUAUAUUGUCUGGUUGUAAAAGAGUUAAGAUGUAUAAGGUUAGGAAUGAUUUAGGUGGAUGUAUGUAUGUAUUUGAGCCUGUAUAUAUAAUUUUGACCCUGUGUGGAUUUUAGAAAAUCUAAAACAUAUUCAAAUAUAUUCAAACUAUAUUUUUGUUUUUAAAAAUCACUGAAGAUAUAUGUUGUAUAAUCUUUCCACCCUGUAAAAAAUAACGGUACAAAUAAAUCAUUAAAAGCC